rnacentral:rRNA from 1 species
UACGAAGGGUGCAAACGUUGCUCGGAAUUAUUGGGCGUAAAGCGCACGUAGGCGGCUUGGCAAGUCGGAUGUGGAAUCCCUCGGCUCAACCAAGGAAGUGCAUCCGAAACUGCUGAGCUUGAGUACUUAAGAGGAUCGCGGAAUUCCCGGUGUAGAGGUGGAAUUCGUAGAUAUCGGGAGGAACACCAGUGGCGAAGGCGGCGAUCUGGGAAGAUACUGACGCUGAGGUGCGAAAGCGUGGGGAGCAAACAGG